AGUGAACGCUGGCGGUAGGCCUAACACAUGCAAGUCGAACGGCAGCACAGGAGAGCUUGCUCUCUGGGUGGCGAGUGGCGGACAGGUGAGGAAUACAUCGGAAUCUACUCUGUCGUGGGGGAUAACGUAGGGAAACUUACGCUAAUACCGCAUACGACCUACGGGUGAAAGCAGGGGAUCUUCGGACCUCGCGCGAUUGAAUGAGCCGAUGUCGGAUUAGCUAGUUGGCGGGGUAAAGGCCCACCAAGGCGACGAUCCGUAGCUGGUCUGAGAGUAUGAGCAGGCACACUGGAACUGAGACACGGUCCAGACUCCGACGGGAGGCAGCAGUGGGGAAUAUUGGACAAUGGGCGCAAGCCUGAUCCAGCCAUACCGCGUGGGUGAAGAAGGCCUUCGGGUUGUAAAGCCCUUUUGUUGGGAAAGAAAUCCAGCUGGCUAAUACCCGGUUGGGAUGACGGUACCCAAAGAAUAAGCACCGGCUAACUUCGUGCCAGCCGCCGCGGUAA
rnacentral:rRNA from 1 species